rnacentral:rRNA from 1 species
ACCUGGUUGAUCCUGCCAGUAGUCAUAUGCUUGUCUCAAAGCUUAAGCCAUGCAAGUGUAAGUUCAUGCCGUAAACGAAUGGUGAAACCGCGAAUGGCUCAGGAACCGGACCUAAUCCUCGGGACCGUAUUCCUCUUUAACGCGAGGAGAGUGGAUAACUGUGGCAAUUCUAGAGCUAAUACAUGCAACCGAAGCCGCGAUCGCAGGUCGCACCCGGGCGUCGGGUUUGCAGAAAACGGCGUUCGGCGCCAUUCGGCGUCGCCCGUUGUUGGCGUCGUCGCUGGUUGCCGUUCGUUGCCGGCGCCCGCUCGGCCGGAACUCGGCGGGUUCGCGCUCGCCCCGGUCGCGACGAUACGGUCGGCCUUUCGCAUUGGUCGCGGCGCAAAUAUUAGACUGAGACCGACGCGUACGGGCCGYGGCGGUGUUGCGUCGGCCGUCGUCGCCGCUUCGCGCGGUGGCGCGCCUCGCUGGCCGCUGCGGCUUCCUCACGCCCUUCGAUUUUGGUGACUCUGGAUAACUGUCAGUACGAUCGCACGGGCUAGUUAUAUCGACUAGCCUUCUGUUGGCGACGGGUCCCCCGCGAGUCCGCCCUAUCAACUGUCGACGGCCCGGUAAGUGCCGACCGUGGUGGCAACGGGUAACGGGGAAUCAGGGUUCGAUUCCGGAGAGGGAGCAUGCGAAACGGCUACCACAUCCAAGGAAGGCAGCAGGCGCGCAAAUUACCCACUCCCGGCACGGGGAGGUAGUGACGAAAAAUAACGACGCGGGACUCUGUCGAGGCCCCGCGAUCGGAAUGAGUACACUUCAAAUCCGUUAACGAGGAUCGACCGGAGGGCAAGUCUGGUGCCAGCAGCCGCGGUAAUUCCAGCUCCGGUAGCGUAUAUUAAAAUUGUUGCGUUUGAAAAGCUCGUAGUCGGAAUUCGGGUCUCGAAAACGUGCCCCAGCACGUUCGGGGCGACGUGACGGCAGUCGCCGUUCGCGUCGCGUGUCGCGCUCCGCGCGCGUCCGCGUCGGCGUCGGCUUCUGUCGUCCGCUCGCACUCCCGGCCCUAUUCGCCGGUGCGUGCGCGGUCGGUCCGCUCGGCUCUGUUGGCGCGUCGCCGCCGCUGCCGUCCGUCUGCGCGCGCCGCAACGCGUYGUUGUCGGCGGCGGCGCUUGUUGGCGGCCGGUAAAACGGUCGUCUCCGGUCGUCGUCGUGGUCGGCCUCGCCUGCUGUGCGCCGCGCUUUCGGUUUAGCGCCGGUUUCUGGCGCGCCUUCAUCCGGCGGUCGCUUCGGCCCGCACGGUUCCUCCGAGGGUGCUCUUCGCCGAGUGUCCGAGGCGGCCGGUACGUUCACUGUGAAAAAAUUAGAGUGCUCAGAGCGAGCCCCGCCGGCUUGCAUAGGAAAAGCAUGGAAUGAUGGAAAAUGGCCUCGUCCGCGCGUCAUCCGUCGGUCUCCGUUCACGACGAGGCAAUGAUCGAAGGGAGCGAUCGGGGCCACUCGUAUUGCGACGUUAGAGGUGAAAUUCUUGGAUCGUCGCAAGACGCACUGCAGCGACGGCGUGUGGCAAGCACGUUUUCCUCGAUCAAGAGCGAAAGUCGGAGGUUCGAAGACGAUCAGAUACCGUCGUAGUUCCGACCGUAAACGAUGCCGACUGGCGCUCCGCCGGCGUUCGCUUCGAUGACCCGGCGGGGAGCCUGCGCGGGAAACCAUAGUCGGUUCCGGGGGGAGUAUGGUUGCAAAACAGAAACUUAAAGGAAUUGACGGAAGGGCACCACCAGGAGUGGAGCCUGCGGCUUAAUUUGACUCAACACGGGAAAACUCACCCGGUCCGGACACCGGUAGGAUUGACAGAUCGAUAGCUCUUUCUCGAUUCGGUGGGUGGUGGUGCAUGGCCGUUCUUAGUUGGUGGAGCGAUCCGUCUGGUUGAUUCCGAUAACGAACGAGACUCCGGCCUGCUAACUAGCGCGUCGAUUAGUGCUUUUCCGGUAGCGCGGCGGCGCCGAAGCCGUGAUCGGUCGCCUGUGCUGUCGUGCCGGCUUGCCGUUGCCGUUGCCGUCGCCGUCCUUCGCUUCUUCUUCGGUGUCGCGUUGCCGCGCCGCUGCGUGCGCGCGCGUGCGUGUGUGGGCCUCGUGUUCGCGCUCGCGCGUGCGUGUCGUUGCGGGGUCGGCGUCGUGGUCCGUGUCGUCGCGUGGCGGCGUGGGCGGCGGUGAUCGCGCGGGCUGGUGUGGGCGGCGCGAGCCCGGUUGCGGCACGCCGUCGCGUCCGGGCCAGUCGGUUGGCGAACGCAGCGCUUCUUAGAGGGACGGGCGGCAGAAAGCCGCACGAGGCGGAGCGAUAACAGGUCUGUGAUGCCCUUAGAUGUCCGGGGCCGCACGCGCGCUACACUGGAGGUAUCAGCGGGCGCUUUUCCCCCGGCCCGAGAGGGUCGGGAAACCUCUGAACCACCUCCCGUGAUAGGGAUCGGGGCCUGGAACGAACCCCGUGAACGAGGAAUUCCCGGUAGGCGCGGGUCAUCAGCCCGCGUCGAUCACGUCCCUGCCCUUUGUACACACCGCCCGUCGCUACUACCGAUCGAACGGUCCGGUGAGGUCCUCGGAUCUGGCCGACGAGUUGGCUUACGCGCGCGGCGGCUGCYCGCGGCGUUCCGCGCCGUGUGCUUCGUCGUCGUCUGCGCGGCGCGUUCUCUGAUGGCCCGGAGAAGACGACCGAACCCGAUCGCUUAGAGGAAGUAAAAGUCGUAACAAGGUUUCCGUAGGUGAACCUGCGGAAGGAUCAUUA